UACAAUUAAGAAAUUAUAAUUAUACCUUAAACUUAAAUCUCUCUUCCUCUCUCUUCCAAAUUUAGUCUUCAUCUAUCUCCCUCAUGCGAACACGAUUUUGAAUGCAAACACGAUUCUAAAGGCCCUCAUUCUAAACGCAAACACGAUUCACGAUUUUGCCUAUACUUCGCAAUCGUGUCUUGCUCCUCCUUCGCUUUGCGUCUCUCCUCCGGCUCUGCCUCUGCUCGCUGCCUCGGCCUCGCCCAGUCCUCCGCCUUGGUUGACCGUUCGUCAAAACUCAAAAGGUUUGGAUUUCAAUUCGUAUUAUCAUCAGAAUUGAUGUUUGGAGUUUUGUUUGUUUCAAAUUAGAUGUUAGUGCUGAUUUUUUAUGAAUUUUUUUAUUGCAUAUAAGGUGUUUGAUUUUUUGUCUAUAUAAAGUGUUUAAGUUUUUUUUUUUUUGUGCAUAUAAGGUGUUUGACUUUUUUUUCUAUUUAAGGUUCACUGAAAAUAUGUUUUAUGUUUUCUAAAUUGGUUGAUUUAGAGAAGUUUGUGAGAAUAAAGAAUAGUAAAAGAAUUGAUUCUUUUUUCAAGAGGAAAAUUUGUGGGAAUGAAAGAUAUGAAGAAAUUAUAACUUCUACAUCCGAAACUAUAUAUGAGAAUCCAAGAAUUGAAGAAAAUGAGAAUCAUCUUUCCAAAGUUCUUAGUGUUUUCGAAGAUGACUUUGAGAAAUGUUUAGAACGUGACCCCGAAAAGCGCAUUCAAAUUUGACAAUAUCCACCAAAUAAAUUGGAUGCAAUACGAAGAGCUUAUCUAAAAUUUGGUCCUUAUCAAAUAAAUUUAGAUGAACAUCCUUUAUCUGGCAACGAGGUUCAUCCAAGACGGGUUCAAUAUGUUUGGUUUAACAUAUUUUAUUCAUGGCUAGAAUAUUCACAUUCUAAAGAUGCUGCAAAUUGUUUGUCAUGCUAUCUAUUUAGCAAAAGGCCAAGUGGACGUCCCGGAUCAGAUGUCUUCAUUGUUACGGGUUUUAGAAAUUGGAAGAAAAUUAAAAAUGGAAAAUUUUGCGUCUUUCUCAAACACAUAGAGAUGAAUCCUUGCUCACCACACAACAGUGCAAUGAAAGCUUGUCUAAACUUGUUGAAUCAAGAUGAACAUAUUAUGAAUACUUUUCAAGUGCAAAGCUUAGGACAACUUACAAUGAUGAAGUUGUGAAAGUUGUGUUGGAAAAUGCUUCAUAUAAUUCUAAGUAUACUUCACAUCAAAUUCAAAAAGAGCUUUUGCAUAUUCUUUCUAGUACGGUGAGAAAACAUAUAUGUGAAGAAAUUGAUGAUUCCAAAUUUUGCAUCGUUGUAGAUGAAGUUCGUGAUGAAUCAAAAAGAGAACAAAUGUCUCUUGUGUUAAGAUUUGUUGACAAAGUUGGUUUAAUACAAGAGUGAUUUUUUUUGUGGCACAUGUUAAAGACACUACAACUUUAACUCUGAAAGAUUAAGUAUGUGAUCUACUUUCUCGACACAAUCUUGAUGUUUCUAACAUGCGUGGUCAAGGGUAUGAUGAUGCUAGUAAUAUGAGAGGAGAAUGGAACGAUUUACAAGCACUAUUUAUGAAAGAUUGUCCUUAUGCAUACUAUGUCCAUUGUUUUGCUCAUCGAUUGCAACUUGCCUUGGUUACUGUAUCAAGAGAAGUUGUUCCAAUGCAUUAAUUUUUUGAGAAGCUAACUUUUGUUGUUAAUGUUGUUUGUUCUUCUACUAAGCGUCAUGAUGAGUUACAAGCUGCUCAAUUAGAAGAAAUUGCACAUCUGCUAGAAAUUGAUGAGAUUGUAAUUGGUAAAGGUAUAAAUCAAAUUGGUACUUUGAAACGAGCUGGCGACACUCGUUGGGGAUCACAUUUCUCUUCUAUUUGUAGCUUGAUAAAUAUGUAUGAGGCAACCUGUACUGUUUAAAAAAAAAAUAUAUAAAUGAAAGAGCAAAUUAUUCUACAUGUGGGGAUGGUGAUAGUGCCUAUAAUUAUUUGACGGCGUUUGAUUUUUUAUUUAUCUUGCAUUUGAUGAAAGAAAUUAUGAGGAUCACUGAUAUACUUUGUCAAGCCUUACAACAACAAUUUCAUGAUAUAGUUAAUGUCAUGUGUUUGGUUGGAACAACAAAGUAUCUUAUUCAAGAAUUGAGAGAAGAUGGUUGGGAUGCAUUGUUUACUGAAGUGAAGAUUUUUUGUGAAAAACAUGAUAUUGAGAUUCCUAAUCUCAAUGAUGUUCAUUCAACAACAAGAUUUGGACGCUCUCGUCUUCAACAAGGUCAGAUUACAAUAGAGCAUCAUUUUAUAGUUGAAAUAUUUGUUUACUAUCAUUGAUCAACAAUUACAAGAGUUGAAUAACAGAUUUAGUGAGCAAGCAAUGGAUUUGUUAACUCUAAGUUGUGCUUUGACUCCUAAGGAUAAUUAUAAAGCUUUUAACAUUGAAAAAAUUUGCACUCUAGUUGAAAAAUAUUACCCUGUGGAUUUCAAUAUGGAAGAGAAGAUUAAUUUGAAAUUUCAACUCCAACAUUUCUUGGUUGAUGCUCGUCAAAAUUUAAAUUUGAAGAAUUUAUCAACUAUCCAAGAAUUGUGCUCAUGUUUGGUUGCAAUUGAAUAGGCGCAAAAUUUCUACUUGAUUGAUAGACUACUUUGUCUUAUCACGACUCUUCUGGUUUCUACUGCCACAACAAAAAGAUCUUUUUCAACAAUGAAAAUUAUUAAAUCUAAGUUAAGAAACAAGAUGGAAGCUGACUUUUUGACAGAUAUCAUGACGACUUAUAUUGAAAGAAAAAUUGUUGUGAGUAUCACUUCUGAGUCUAUUAUUGAUGAUUUCAAGUUAAUUAAAGAGCGUUGACUUUCAGGUAUUCCUAAGUCAAGUAGUUAAAUUAUUUGAUAUUUCACUUUGUGUUUAUUACAUCUUAAUUUUUUAUAUAUUUAAUUUAUACAUUAUAUUUUUAUGUUGGUCAUCUCAAUCAGCUUUUUAGUCAAGCUCUACGUACAAGUCCUAACUAACUCACUCCCACUGAUAUCUCGCGGUCAUAUAACAACUCUCAGCUUACCUCAUCCAUAAUGAGUGCAUUUGUUAUAGAUUUUUUUUGUAUAAAAAAUCUAUUUUUAAGUCCAAAAUGAUGUUGCAGGGUUUAAAUAGUGUUUGUUUUUUUAUUUUUUUAAAUUAUUUUUUUGGCUAAAAAUGAAAAACUAAAAAUAGCACCAUGUUACGUUACAAAAACAAUUUAAAAACACUGAACUUAACAUUUGUCAUUACUCUUACCCUAUUUUUUGAACAUCUCAAAUUGUCUUUCAGCAAUUUUUAUUAGGGUUUUUUCUUUUGACAUAUUCUUCUUCUCCUUCCAUGAAUAUAUGUUUUUUUCUCCUUUUCGAUCUCUCUAGUUGUACUACUUACUACCUGAUUAUUAUCAACUAGAAUAACAACUAAAAAAAUAAAACAAGGUAUACUCAAACGGAUUUUCAAUGAUGAUGAUAAUAAUAAUAUAGUUAGUGGGUAAAUAUUUUAACAUCACUAUUAGAAACAAAACUAUGUUUUUAAUCACAAAUUAAACAUAAUUGUUAGACUGUUAAAUAAUUGACUUUAAUUUUACUUACUUUUUAAUGUUUUAAAAAAUGAGCGGUUGUUAAAUGUUUAUGUUGUACAUUGUGGUAAUUUUUUUGGCUUAUUAAUCAAUAAAUAUUUUAUUUUAUAUAUUUAAUACGAUAUUAGUAACUUUAAAUUUAAGUAAGCUAUAUUACAAAAACUUAGUGUUUAAUAACUUAAUUAUAGAUUAUUAUUAAUGUUUAUAAUUUUGUAUAAAUAUUACAAAGGUUAAUGGACACCAGAGGCAAUAAACUGGAAGAUGACAUCAGUCCUGUGACCCAAAUAGUCCUAAUCGAAUAUUUUAUUUACUUUUUUCUAAUUCCAGAAAAAAAUUACCACUAAGUUUUCCAUAUCCGCUUGAAGAUCCAUCUUUUACCAAAGCCUUAGGUUGACUUUGAUUUGUGUCUGUUCUAUGGGAAGAUUUCAAAUCAAUGAGUAGUUCCCCAGAAAAUUCAAGCUGUUCAUUUUCAACAAUUGCAGGUGUAGAGGAAUUCUGACGAGGUAGUGAGGGGAGAGACUUCCCAGAGUUAGCAUUGUCAUCUAACAAUUCAUUCCUUAGAGGGCAAACCAUCAGAGUU
rnacentral:lncRNA from 1 species